GACGAACCGUGCAGAACGUUGUUCGGAAUCACUGGGCUUAAAGGGCGCGUAGGCGGCUUGCCAAGUCAGGGGUGAAAUCUUUCGGCUUAACCGGAAAAGUGCCUCUGAUACUGGCGAGCUAGAGGGAGGUGAGGGCAGUGUGGAACUUCCGGUGGAGCGGUGAAAUGCGUUGAUAUCGGAAGGAACGCCGGUGGCGAAGGCGGCCCACUGGUCCGGUACUGACG
rnacentral:rRNA from 1 species